UUUCCAAGGAUCUGCAGGGGUGGACAUGA
rnacentral:piRNA from 1 species